rnacentral:rRNA from 1 species
GAUGAACGCUGGCGGCGUGCUUAAUACAUGCAAGUCGAGCGAACAGACGCGGAGUUUGCUCUUCUGACGUUAGCGGCGGAUGGGUGAGUAACACGUGGAUAACCUAUCUCUCUGACUGGGAUAACUUCGGGAAACUGGAGUUAAUACCGGAUAAUUUAUUGAACUGCAUGGUUUAAUAGUGAAAGAUGGUUUUGCUGUCGAUUAUCGAUGGAUCCGCGCCGCAUUAGGUUGUUGGCAAGGUAACGGCUUAACAAGGCAACGAUGCGUAGCCGACCUGGGAGAGUGGUCGGCGACACUAGAGCGUGGACGCGCACCAGGCGCCUACGGGAGGCAGCAGUAUGGUAUCUGCCGCAGUGGUCGAGAGCCUUACAGAGCAGCGCCGCGUGAGUGAUGGAGGUCUUCGGAGCGUAAAACCCGGUUAUUAGUUAAAAACAAAUUUGUAUAGAACAGAACACGACUUGACGGUACCUAAACAGAAAGCCACGGCUAACUACGUG